rnacentral:lncRNA from 1 species
UUGUACCCCACAGGAGGUGCCAUCUGAAGGAAUUUUGUUCUUCACUUGCAGGCCCCUGACAGCCAAGAAGAGCUGAGGAACAAACUGCAGUAAAGGAGAGUGAGGAGAGAAAAAAAGGACUGAGCCUUAAAAAGGAUUUCGAUGGACAUGUAAUUAGAGGUGAAUGGAGUCUUCAGAGAUGAUCCCCAGUGGGGUUUGUAAGCUGGUUCACCACAGACU